rnacentral:rRNA from 1 species
UACGGAGGGGGCAAGCGUUGUCCGGACUUACUGGGCGUAAAGGGUGCGUAGGCGGUUGCAUGCGUCCGGCGCUGAAAUCCCGAGGCUCAACCUCGGGGACGCGUGCGGAUACGAUGCGACUUGAGGCUCGGAGAGGGUGGGAGAACUCCUGGUGUAGUGGUGAAAUGCGUAGAGAUACAGGAAGAAUACCCGUGGCGCAAGCGCCCACCUGGCCGAGACCUGACGCUAA